rnacentral:piRNA from 1 species
GAGCCCGAGACACCCUGUGCGAUCUUCACCUA